CACAUCGACUGCGUUGACACAGUCCAGGCUGCUAAUUGACACAUCGGCUGCGUUGACACAGUCCAGGCUGCUAAUUGACACGUGAACUGCACCGGUGCAGUUUAGACCGCAUCGGCUGCUUGGCACAGUACAGGCUGCGCCACUUAGUCCAGGGGGCGUCGACUCAGUGCAGAGGGCGUUGACGCAGCAAAAGCCCGCCGCACAGUGUUUAUAAGGAAGUGGGUUUGGCGACACAAUGCCACUUGCCGAAACAAGCCAGACCUCACUCACGCUCGCUUGUCGAAGUUCGUGUCAGUGCAGACUUCGUGUUCGUGCCUUGCCUUCCUUGCCGAUUAUGGAGCAGAGACGCAAAUCAUCCGCCGUGUGGGACCAUUUUGAUGUCGCGGAGAAUAAGGUGAAAUGUCGAAUUUGCCGGGUCGAAUUGUCAUACACCAACAGAAGCACCUCCACCAUGCUGAGGCAUUAUCGGGCCAAGCAUGAGAAUGAAGUUCGCGAUACACCCAGUAUUACGCCAGGUUCCACGAAGCAGCUGUACUGGAAGGACCAACACACUUCUUUCCCAAACCUCUCCCACCUCGCAAAGGAGUUCCUUUGUACGCCAGCCUCAUCCGUU